UACCAGCACCCCGAGUGGUCGGGACGUUUUAUUGGGCCUAAAGCAUCCGUAGCCGGUUCUACAAGUCUUCCGUUAAAUCCACCUGCUUAACAGAUGGGCUGCGGAAGAUACUAUAGAGCUAGGAGGCGGGAGAGGCAAGCGGUACUCGAUGGGUAGGGGUAAAAUCCGCUGAUCCAUAGAAGACCACCAGUGGCGAAGGCGGCUUGCCAGAACGCGCUCGACGGUGAGGGAUGAAAGCUGGGGGGAGCAAACCGG
rnacentral:rRNA from 1 species